UGUUGUUGGGGUUUUGAUGGGACAAUGUUAGAGUUUGGGUUAGAGGGUGAGUGGGUUGACCCCGGUGAGGAAGGUGACGACGAGGACGAUGACGAUGAGUUCGAGCUGCUUUCCGACUCUGAAUUUUGAGUUUGAUCAGUCAUCUUCUUCCUUUAGUGAACACUUAGUUUUUAAGGCCAAUUAAACGAAUCAAUAAUGAUUAUUGAAGCUGUUAGCCAGCUAGAGCUUGUCGUUUUGAAGCAGAAAGUAUCCACUUCGUAAAGAAAUUGAAAGGCCCUGCUUAAGCAGUUAAAAUGAUGGAUGGAGAUUAUUUUCAGGAACAGAAAAUGAAAAGAAGGAAAAGCAAUGGCAAGUAGAGAGAGUUAGGAUGAGCACAAGCAGUUGGGCAGCAGGCGCAGGAAGGAAAGGAAGGGAAAAGGCAGGUAGUGACAUGAAGCUCGGAAGAGUUAGGCUUUGAUCAAGAAAGAAGGG
rnacentral:misc_RNA from 1 species